AGCAGCCGCGGUAAUUCCAGCUCCAAUAGCGUAUAUUAAAGUUGUUGCAGUUAAAAAGCUCGUAGUUGAAUUUCGGGGUUAGUAGAUUGGUCAUGCCUCUGGUAUGUACUGGUCUCACUGAUUCCUCCUUCCUGAUGAACCUUAAUGCCAUUAAUUUGGUGUUUUGGGGAAUUUGGACUGUUACUUUGAAAAAAUUAGAGUGUUUAAAGCAAGCUAACGCUUGAAUACAUUAGCAUGGAAUAAUGAAAUAGGACGUUCGAUCCUAUUUUGUUGGUUUCUAGGAUUGACGUAAUGAUUAAUAGGGAUAGUUGGGGGCAUUAGUAUUCAAUUGUCAGAGGUGAAAUUCUUGGAUUUAUUGAAGACUAACUACUGCGAAAGCAUUCGCCAAGGAUGUUUUCAUUAAUCAAGAACGAAAGUUAGGGGAUCGAAGACGAUCAGAUACCGUCGUAGUCUUAACCAUAAACUAUGCCGACUAGGGAUCGGAUGAUGUUAAUUUUUUAAUGACUCA
rnacentral:rRNA from 1 species